rfam:Schistosoma rodhaini strain Burundi genome assembly, scaffold: SROB_scaffold0005167
AUCCAGCUGACGAAUCCCAAAUAGGACGAAACGUGCGUCCUGGAU